CCUACGGGAGGCAGCAGUGAGGAAUAUUGGUCAAUGGGCUUACGCCUGAACCAGCCAAGUCGCGUGCGGGAAGACGGCCCUAUGGGUUGUAAACCUCUUUUGUCAGGGAGCAACGCCGGCUACGUGUAGCCGGACUGAGAGUAGCUGAAGAAAAAGCAUCGGCUAACUCCGUGACAGCAGCCGCGGUAGUACGGAGGAUGCGAGCGUUAUCCGGAUUUAUUGGGUUUAAAGGGUGCGUAGGCGGAAUGCCAAGUCAGCGGUAAAAUCGCGGGGCUCAACCUCGCCCCGCCGUUGAAACUGGCGUUCUAGAGUGGGCGAGAAGUAUGCGGAAUGCGUGGUGAAGCGGUGAAAUGCAUAGAUAUCACGCAGAACUCCGAUUGCGAAGGCAGCAUACCGGCGCCCAACUGACGCUGAAGCACGAAAGCGUGGGUAUCGAACAGGAUUAGAUACCCUGGUAGUC
rnacentral:rRNA from 1 species